UACGUAGGGUGCAAGCGUUAAUCGGAAUUACUGGGCGUAAAGCGUGCGCAGGCGGUUAUGUAAGACAGAUGUGAAAUCCCCGGGCUCAACCUGGGAACUGCAUUUGUGACUGCAUAGCUUGAGUGCGGCAGAGGGGGAUGGAAUUCCGCGUGUAGCAGUGAAAUGCAUAGAUAUGCGGAGGAACACCGAUGGCGAAGGCAAUCCCCUGGGCCUGCACUGACGCUCAUGCACGAAAGCGUGGGGAGCAAACAGG
rnacentral:rRNA from 1 species